rnacentral:rRNA from 1 species
CCUACGGGUGGCAGCAGUGGGGAAUAUUGCACAAUGGGGGGAACCCUGAUGCAGCGACGCCGCGUGAGUGAAGAAGUAUUUCGGUAGGGAAAGCUCUAACAGCAGGGAAGAAGAUGACGGUACCGGACUAAGAAGCCCCGGCUAACUACGUGCCAGCAGCCGCGGGAAUACGGAGGGGGCAAGCGUUAUCCGGAUUUACUGGGUGGAAAGGGAGCGUAGACGGCAGGGCAAGUCUGGAGUGAAAGCCCGGGGCCCCACCCCGGGACUGCUUUGGAAACUGCCAUGCUAGAGUGCUGGAGAGGUAAGCUGACUUCCUCGUGUAGCGGUGUCAUGCGUAGAUAUUAGGCGG